rnacentral:rRNA from 1 species
UGAGUUUGAUCCUGGCUCAGGAUGAACGCUAGCGAUAUGCAUUACACAUGCAAGUUGAACGAAAUUUUUAAUAAAAUUUUUAGUAGCGAACGGGUGAGUAAUAUAUAAGAAUUUACCUUUAGGUCGGGGACAAAUCUUAUUUAUAAGAAAUAAAUACCCGAUAUGCGUUUAUAGCUUUCAAAUAUAUUUAUUUCAAUAAAGCAGUGCUAAUAACAUAGAUGUAAAAGAUUAGUUUCGCCUAAAGAAAAGCUUAUAUCUGAUUAGUUAGUUGGUAAAGUAAUGGUUUACCAAGACGAUGAUCAGUAGUUGAUUUGAGAGAAUGGUCAGCCACAUUGGAACUGAGACACGGUCCAAACUUCUAUGGAAGGCAGCAGUGAGGAAUUUUUUGCAAUGGGCUAACGCCUGACAAAGCAAUAUCGCGUGAGGGAAUUUUUAGGAAUUGGGAAGGCUUGUGAGCUGUAAACCUCUUUUUUCAGGAAAGAUGAUGACCUAUACUGAUGAAUAAGCAUCGGCUAACUCCGUGCCAGCAGCCGCGGUAAAACGGGGGAUGCAAGUGUUAUCCGGAUUUAUUGGGCGUAAAGCGUUUGUAGGUUGUUUAAUAUGUCUUUUUAAAAAUCUUUAAGCUUAACUUAAAAAAAAUAAAAGAAACGAUUAAACUUGAGUAUGUAAGAGGUAAAUGGAAUUUUUAGUUAAGCGGUUAAAUGCGUAGAGAUUAAAAGGAACACCAAUAGCGAAAGCAAUUUACUGGUACAUAACUAACACUUAGAGACGAAAGCCAGGGUAUCAAAUGGGAUUAGAUACCCCAGUAGUCCUGGCUGUAAACUAUGGAUAUUAAAAAUUGUAAAAAAUCUUUUUAUUUUAUUUACUUUUUUAAAGUUAACACGUUAAAUAUCCCGUCUGGGAAGUAUGCUCGCAAGAGUAAAACUUAAAGGAAUUGACGUGGGUUUGCACAAGCGGUGGAGCAUGUGGUUUAAUUUGAUGCAACGCAAAGAACCUUACCAGGAUUUGACAUAAUAUAUUAAUAAAUUUGAAAAAAUUUAUUUUUCAUUGUAAUAUAUAUACAGGUGGUGCAUGGCUGUCGUCAGCUCGUGUCGUGAGAUGUCGGAUUAAGUUCUUUAACGAGCGCAACCCUUAUUUUUAGUUAUAUUUCUACAAAGACUGCUGAUGAUAUAUCAGAGGAAGGAAAGGAUGACGUCAAGUCAGCAUGCCCCUUAUAUUCUGGGCUACACACGUGCUACAUUAAGUAAGAUAAUAAGUAGCAUAUCUGUAAAGUUUUGCUAAUCUAUAAAUUUACUUUAAAUUCUAAUUAUAGACUGCAACUUGUCUAUAUGAAGUUGGAAUCGCUAGUAAUCGCUGGUCAGCAAUACAGCGGUGAAUUCGUUCCCAGACUUUGUACACACCGCCCGUCACAUCAUGGGAGUUCGUUAUAUAUAAAAACAUUAUAUUUAACCUUAUGGAAAAUUAUGUUUAAUAUUAAAUUAAUAACUGGGAUGAAGUCGUAACAAGGUAGCCCUACUGGAAGGUGGGGCUGGAUUAAAU